rnacentral:sRNA from 1 species
GUGGUUCGGGUCCGCUUUCGUCUCUGUCCUGCUGCCGUUACCGCCGCCGCUGCUGCCGCCGCUUGCGCCCCCCCCCCCCCGCUCCGGUCUGUGGUGCAGCCGGGACCCAGGACCAUGUCGCUGUCUCGCUCAGAGGAGAUGCACCGGCUCACGGAAAAUGUCUAUAAGACCAUCAUGGAGCAGUUCAACCCUAGCCUCCGGAACUUCAUCGCCAUGGGGAAGAAUUACGAGAAGGCACUGGCAGGUGUGACGUAUGCAGCCAAAGGCUACUUUGACGCCCUGGUGAAGAUGGGAGAGCUGGCCAGCGAGAGCCAGGGCUCCAAAGAACUCGGUCUAGCCUGGGGCAGAGAGGAGAUGGCAGGUGGACACCUGGGAGGGGCUCACUGAGCUCCGCCUCUCCAUCAGCGGAGGCCCCGUCUAGGUUGUGGAGGAUGCUUGAGAGAGCCCUGACCUUCUGACCUCCCAAAAGGUCAAGGGCGCUGGCAGCAGGUGAGACGCCGCAGUUUGCUCUGCUCCCCGGGGCUGUGCUUGCCAGGAGACAUUUCGGCUAUAAGCAGGCGAGAGCACCU